GUCGACGGUGAAGGCGGGAGCUUGCUCCUGCCGGAUCAGUGGCGAACGGGUGAGUAACACGUGAGUAACCUGCCCUUGACUCUGGGAUAAGCGUUGGAAACGACGUCUAAUACCGGAUACGAGCUUCAGCCGCAUGGCUAGGAGCUGGAAAGAACUUCGGUCAAGGAUGGACUCGCGGCCUAUCAGCUAGUUGGUGAGGUAAUGGCUCACCAAGGCGACGACGGGUAGCCGGCCUGAGAGGGUGACCGGCCACACUGGGACUGAGACACGGCCCAGACUCCUACGGGAGGCAGCAGUGGGGAAUAUUGCACAAUGGGCGCAAGCCUGAUGCAGCAACGCCGCGUGAGGGACGACGGCCUUCGGGUUGUAAACCUCUUUUAGCAGGGAAGAAGCGAAAGUGACGGUACCUGCAGAAAAAGCACCGGCUAACUACGUGCCAGCAGCCGCGGUAAUACGUAGGGUGCAAGCGUUGUCCGGAAUUAUUGGGCGUAAAGAGCUCGUAGGCGGUUUGUCGCGUCUGCUGUGAAAACGCGAGGCUCAACCUCGCGC
rnacentral:rRNA from 1 species